CACUCAAAUCACACUGAAACCAUCGGUUCUUGUUUAAUCACAGAAGUUAAGCGGCGUCGUGCCCGGUCAGUAUUUAGAUGAGGCACCGUUUGGGAACACCAGAUACUGUA